rnacentral:tRNA from 1 species
GCCAGUGUAGCUCAAUGGCAGAGCGAUGCUUUCGUAAAGCAAGGAUGGAGGUUCGAUUCCUCUCACUGGCU